ACGCUGAGCACGUCUUAAAGGAGCAGCAGCCUCCGGUGCUCUGGGAGUGUGGGCGGGAGCUGCAGGUUUGAAUAAGUGAAUAAGUCAUUAAACCAGUUCUUCCAACGUCCUCGUUUCCUCAUUUCUGCGGCUGAAUGUUUCUCAAAAGGAUAAAAAGUUGAGACUCACCGCAUUUGGGUAAAUUGUUUCGUUUCUUAACGUAUCGACGCUACAGUUGAAUUAUUGAGCUGGAGCCCAGUUUAAAGAGCUGCCCUGUGGCCAGCCGAGGAGCUGAGGGAAAAGUGAGGUUCGCUGGCUAAUUUAGUGCAACUCUCCUGCUCCCGGGUGACUCCUGUGGGGUGUCUCCCUGUGCUGAGCGAGGACCAGCUUACUGGCUCGGUUGUGAUGCUGCCACAGUCGAAGAAGAGCCCAUCAGACACAUUAGAAGAACAGACACUGGAGGGCGGGACUGGAGCCAUAGAGAGAGAGUCAGCAUCCUAAAUUCCCAGUGCCGGCUAUAUUUUCCUGCGGAGGAUUCUGUGUUGCUGGUGCUCGGUUUGGUGUGGAACACAUCCCGGUUAGUGAGUGGUCAUCCUGCCUCCAGACUGUGACCAUCACAUUUGCAGCCAAGGGAGAACAGGAGCAGGGCGGACUGUUCACCCGGACUAUCCUUUCAGUGCCACCUCCACUCCUCACACCAAACACUGCCAUCAUUGUAACUGCUGGACCAUUGCACAGACUGCCCAAUAAGGUCAGAGGGAUUGAGAGUACAAGACUGUCAUGUAAUGCUGCCCUUGAUUGUGACUGAAGUCUGCAACUAGGGUUUUGGUGCUUCAAAGUAUCAAUCAAGGACCCAGGCGCUGAAUCCUGAGGGAUUGGUCCUACCAUCCCGAAAACAUUGUCCAUUUUCCGCCCUCUCCUCGAUCUCUGGACAGAGAAACUGUUUUGUUCAUGAGGGAGAUUCUCACACCAGAAAACAGGAAGAAGAACGUUGGAAAAGCAGUGGAAUUUGUGAUUUUCGGCCUGGGAGAGGGAUAAGGAUGGAGUGAGCAGAAGUGUGUUUAGUAACUGGACAGUGAGAUGAGCUUGUGACCGGUCACCUGUCCUCGGAAACCUCCACAA